rnacentral:rRNA from 1 species
AUUGAACGCUGGCGGCAGGCCUAACACAUGCAAGUCGAGCGGAGCGGCGGACGGGUGAGUAAUGCCUAGGAAUCUGCCUGGUAGUGGGGGAUAACGUCCGGAAACGGGCGCUAAUACCGCAUACUCUCAGAUGAGCCUAGGUCGGAUUAGCUAGUUGGGGGGGUAAAGGCCUACCAAGGCGACGAUCCGUAACUGGUCUGAGAGGAUGAUCAGUGACAAGGGAACUGAUGCACGGUCCAGACUCCUACGGUAGGCAGCAGUGGGGAAUAUUGGACAAUGGGCGAAGGCCUGAUCCAGCCAUGCCGCGGGUAUGAAGAAGGCCUUCGGGUUGUAAAGUACUUUCAGCGGGGAGGCGUUACCCGCAGAAGGAGCACCGGCUAACUCCGUGCCAGCAGCCGCGGUAAUAC